ACAGUGCCUGAGGAGGUACAUUAAGGGAAACAGAAGGUUCCCUUCCUCAUUGCUAACGUCUUUGGCUGCAGACACUGCAAGAGUGCUGAAGCCUUUUCCCCCGAGAGACAUCUCCUGUCCACUGAGCUGACAUUGACAGGUGCCAUUCAGCCUUCUGAGAGCUGUGUGAAAACAUUCCACCAGACAGAGGACUUGUCUAAGGAUCCGGUCUAAUGGGAGCCUAAGAUGUCCCAGAAACGAAAAAUGUCUGAACCACGGAGAAAAAUAAUCAGUGUUCAGAAUAUAUGAGGAUUGCUGUGAAGAGUCUGCCUAUUUCUGUCUAUGUUUUUAUAUCUUUGAAGAGUUAAAAUCCCAAGGUGAAGUGUUGUGUGUCUGGAGCUCUAAGAGAAAGUGCAUUUCCUCUUUGUUACACAACCUAUGAGCAGGAUGGAACCUUGGCCCUCACAAAUAGGGAAUCCAUAUUUCAGUCUGGAACUACCCAGAAACCCUCCAGUUGAAUGAGAAAUAGAUGGUUUUUUGGGAUUGUGAGACAGUCUGAAGUCAUGGAUGCCAUUUCCCAUUGAAAACCCAGGAUAUUUCUGGGAAACGGCAUGUAUCCAGUAAACUUUCUCUGAAAGGCUUGAAAACCGGAGCUGUUCUCCAAGUGUAUGUUCAG